ensembl:lncRNA
ACCUAGGGCAGGAGGGAGGGGAGAGCCUCUGAGUGCACUGGCUGAGAGAGAUGGUGGGAUGGCCAUGGUCCAUCUUGCUGGCAAGGAGCAGCUGCCGAACCGCAUCAAGGAGUCCUUCUCUCAAAUCAGUCAGCAUCCAGGUAAUUCCGAAGAGCAGACAGGCCUAGAGAUGCAUCUGGAAGAGCAAGUACCAGCUCAGAGCUCGGCACUCACAGCUCUCCACUUCCAAGGACCACGUGCUGCUUAGGAUGUAAGCUACUGGCCUCUUUGACCCCAGCCUGGUGAGCAGACAGGUUAAGGACAGGAAGUGACUUGCCCCAGAUGACACCCAAACCUCAGUGGUCAUGUAUGGAUGUCAGAGUUGGACUGUGAAGAAAGCUGAGCGCCGAAGAAUUGAUGCUUUUGAACUGUGGUGUUGGAAAAGACUCUUGAGAGUCCCUUGGACUGCAAGGAGAUCCAACCAGUCCAUUUUAAAGGAGAUCAGCCCUGGGUAUUCUUUGGAAGGAAUGAUGCUAAAGCUGAAACUCCAGUACUUUGGCGACCUCAUGCAGAGUUGACUCAUUGGAAAAGACUCUGAUGCUGGGAGGGAUUGGGGGCAGGAGGAAAAGGAGACAACAGAGGAUGAGAUGGCUGGAUGGCAUCAUCGACUCGAUGGAUGUGAGUUUGAGUGAACUCCAGGAGUUGGUGAUGGACAAGGAGGCCUGGCGUGCUGCGAUUCAUGGGGUCGCAAAGAGUC